rnacentral:rRNA from 1 species
UACGUAGGGUGCAAGCGUUGUCCGGAAUUAUUGGGCGUAAAGAGCUCGUAGGCGGUUUGUCGCGUCUGCUGUGAAAACGCGAGGCUCAACCUCGCGCCUGCAGUGGGUACGGGCAGACUGGAGUGCGGUAGGGGAGAUUGGAAUUCCUGGUGUAGCGGUGGAAUGCGCAGAUAUCAGGAGGAACACCGAUGGCGAAGGCAGAUCUCUGGGCCAUUACUGACGCUGAGGAGCGAAAGCAUGGGUAGCGAACAGG